UACGGAGGGUGCGAGCGUUGUCCGGAAUCACUGGGCGUAAAGGGCGCGUAGGUGGCGUCGCAAGUCAACGGUGAAAGCUCGACGCUCAACGUCGAGUCGGCCGUCGAGACUGCGAGGCUUGAGCACUGUAGAGGCAGAUGGAAUUCCGGGUGUAGCGGUGGAAUGCGUAGAGAUCCGGAAGAACACCGGUGGUGAAGGCGGUCUGCUGGGCAGUUGCUGACACUGAGGCACGAAAGCGUGGGGAGCAAACAGG
rnacentral:rRNA from 1 species